AUUGAACGCUGGCGGCAGGCCUAACACAUGCAAGUCGAGCGGAUGAAGGGAGCUUGCUCCUGGAUUCCGCGGCGGACGGGUGAGUAAUGCCUAGGAAUCUGCCUGGUAGUGUGGGAUAACGUCCGGAAACGGGCGCUAAUACCGCAUACGUCCUGAGGGAGAAAGUGGGGGAUCUUCGGACCUCACGCUAUCAGAUGAGCCUAGGUCGGAUUAGCUAGUUGGUGGGGUAAAGGCCUACCAAGGCGACGAUCCGUAACUGGUCUGAGAGGAUGAUCAGUCACACUGGAACUGAGACACGGUCCAGACUCCUACGGGAGGCAGCAGUGGGGAAUAUUGGACAAUGGGCGAAAGCCUGAUCCAGCCAUGCCGCGUGUGUGAAGAAGGUCUUCGGAUUGUAAAGCACUUUAAGUUGGGAGGAAGGGCAGUAAGUUAAUACCUUGCUGUUUUGACGUUACCAACAGAAUAAGCACCGGCUAACUUCGUG
rnacentral:rRNA from 1 species